UACGGGGGGAGCAAGCGUUGUUCGGAUUUACUGGGCGUAAAGGGCGCGUAGGCGGUCAGCACAAGUCAGUUGUGAAAUCUCCGGGCUUAACUCGGAAAGGUCAACUGAUACUGUGCGACUAGAGUGCAGAAGGGGCAACUGGAAUUCUCGGUGUAGCGGUGAAAUGCGUAGAUAUCGAGAGGAACACCUGCGGCGAAGGCGGGUCUCUGGGCCGUAACUGACGCUGAGGAGCGAAAGCAUGGGGAGCGAACAGG
rnacentral:rRNA from 1 species